rnacentral:rRNA from 1 species
GAUGAACGCUGGCGGCGUGCCUAAUACAUGCAAGUCGAGCGAACAGACGAGGAGCUUGCUUCUCUGACGUUAGCGGCGGACGGGUGAGUAACACGUGGAUAACCUACCUAUAAGACUGGGAUAACUUCGGGAAACCGGAGCUAAUACCGGAUAAUAUAUUGAACCGCAUGGUUCAAUAGUGAAAGACGGUUUUGCUGUCACUUAUAGAUGGAUCCGCGCCGCAUUAGCUAGUUGGUAAGGUAACGGCUUACCAAGGCGACGAUGCGUAGCCGACCUGAGAGGGUGAUCGGCCACACUGGAACUGAGACACGGUCCAGACUCCUACGGGAGGCAGCAGUAGGGAAUCUUCCGCAAUGGGCGAAAGCCUGACGGAGCAACGCCGCGUGAGUGAUGAAGGUCUUCGGAUCGUAAAACUCUGUUAUUAGGGAAGAACAAAUGUGUAAGUAACUAUGCACGUCUUGACGGUACCUAAUCAGAAAGCCACGGCUAACUACGUG